CCGCCGUUUUAGCCACUCCUAUGAGACUGACUUCACACGAUCACUUACCCCGGUGGUUUUAAUUACAAAUCACAUACUAGGCUCGCGCGUUGAGCGCGCCUGUUAGAUGGAUAACCCUGAUAAGUACUGUUUUCAUCAACCAGGCCUGGAGGUUCUGCAACGUUCGGCCGCCGGUUUGACGCUGUUUGGUUUCGUGUCGUUUUCAUCUCACAAAGAAAAAGAAAGAAAGAUUGACAUACCUCGCACGUGGGCGCAGUCACUGUUGUAGGUGGAAAUUUAGGAAGGUAGGACACAGACGGGAAUUUAAUGUACAUCUGUAAGCAACGAUAA